rnacentral:lncRNA from 1 species
ACUCCGAAAAUGGCAAGUCAGCUCCAGAAGUUGGCGAGUCGACUCCGGGUUAAGUCGAGUCGACUCCCAGUCGCGGAGGUCACUUUAAUUCAAAUCCGGAACAGUUGCCGAGCCGACUCCAGAAAAGCAUGAGUCGACUCCCGCUACAGCCGAGUCGACUCCAGAUCGCGCGAGUCGACUCCGACCCCAACGGACACAUUGUCAGGUUGUGCAGAGUGUGCAGAACGGGCAGAAAAAGGUGUCUAACGGCUAGUUU